AACAAUUAUGCAGGCUACGGAAGAAAGACUUACAAACCUACAAGGGAUCUUCAACAUGGUGUAAGUAAAUUCGGUCAGGGUGUGAUCUUCGUAAGACGGCUCAGGUGAUGCAGUUAGGCGUAAAUCCUUAUAAGGCAAGUAGUAUUAUCGGUUGUCGAACCGUCUAUGGAAUCUUUCUCAUUAUUGUAAUAUCAUAAUAAAUCAACGUAAAAAAAAAGUAAAUAGAAAAGUAGCCAAAGGAGAAAAGGAAGUAGCCAACUCUCUCUCUCUCUAAACGGGCACCUCUCUCUCUAAAAUAUGGGCUGGAUAUGGACAUCCACAAUAUGAAUUAUAACACAUUAGUCAAAAAAAAAAAACUAGUACAUUGUAACAUAACUACAAAUAUCACAUGUUUCAACACAUGAGUACAUGAAUAUUUUUAACAAAGAAAGUUUGUCCUAAUAUGUUAUGAACUUAGGUCGAACACUCUUAACAUAUUCCAAGGUGCAUAUGUAUAUUUUAAAAAAAUAAGACUUUGAAGAAAGUAAAUAAACAAAUGUUAUUACAAAAGAAAAUAAAAAAAUGUAAACGAACAAAUGAAAUGCUCAGAUUCAAUGUAGAACGCAGGGGCGAGUCAGUGGAUCGAAACCAAAAUCACUCGUUGAAACUUUCUGAUACAUGUCAUGUGCUUUCCCACUUCCACUAAUGACUCUCAC
rnacentral:lncRNA from 1 species